AUCCGGUGAUGCUGCCCGAGAUCACUGCUAUAGGAAUCGACUAAGACCAUGCGAGUCGAGAGAGUCUGCGCUCGGCAGACGGCUCAGUAACACGUGGAUAAUAUGUCCUUAGGUGGAGGAUAACAUCGGGAAACUGAGAAUAAUACUCCCUAGAUCUAGGAUGCUGGAAUGCACAUAGAUUGAAAGCUCCGGCGCGUAAGGAUGAGUGUGCGGACUAUCAGGUAGUAGUCAGGGUAAAGGCCUGACUAGCCUACGACGGAUACGGGUUGUGAGAGCAAUAACCCGGAGACGAUAUCUGAGACACGAUAUCGGGCCCACGGGGCGCAGCAGGCGCGAAACCUUCACAAUGUGCGAAAGCACGAUGAGGGAAUCCCAAGUGCUUGCUCGUAAGAGUAAGCUGUUUUUAUGUCUAAAAAGCAUAGAGAGUAAGGGCUGGGUAAGACGGGUGCCAGCCGCCGCGGUAAUACCUGCAGCUCAAGUAGUGACCGUUAUUAUUGGGCCUAAAACGUUCGUAGCCGGUUUGGUAAAUCCCUGGGUAAAUCGUGUAGCUUAACUAUACGAAUUCCGGGUAGACUGCCAAACUUGAAACCGGGAGAAGUUAGAGGUACUCCUGGGGUAGAGGUGAAAUUCUGUAAUCCUGGGGGGACCACCAGUGGCGAAGGCGUCUAGCUAGAACGGGUUUGACGGUGAGGAACGAAGCCCUGGGGCGCAAACCGGAUUAGAUACCCGGGUAGUCCAGGGUGUAAACGCUGCUUGCUUGAUGUUAGUUGGGCUCCGAGCCCAAUUAGUGUCGGAGAGAAGUUGUUAAGCCAGCUGCCUGGGAAGUACGAUCGCAAGAUUGAAACUUAAAGGAAUUGGCGGGGGAGCACAGCAACGGGUGGAGCGUGCGGUUUAAUUGGAUUCAACGCCGGA
rnacentral:rRNA from 1 species